GUUUGAUCCUGGCUCAGGACGAACGCUGGCGGCGUGCCUAACACAUGCAAGUCGAACGGAGAAUUUUAUUUCGGUAGAAUUCUUAGUGGCGAACGGGUGAGUAACGCGUAGGCAACCUACCCUUUAGACGGGGACAACAUUCCGAAAGGAGUGCUAAUACCGGAUGUGAUCAUUGUGCCGCAUGGCAGGAUGAAGAAAGAUGGCCUCUACAAGUAAGCUAUCGCUAAAGGAUGGGCCUGCGUCUGAUUAGCUAGUUGGUAGUGUAACGGACUACCAAGGCGAUGAUCAGUAGCCGGUCUGAGAGGAUGAACGGCCACAUUGGGACUGAGACACGGCCCAAACUCCUACGGGAGGCAGCAGUGGGGAAUCUUCCGCAAUGGACGAAAGUCUGACGGAGCAACGCCGCGUGAGUGAUGGAGGAUUUCGGUCUGUAAAGCUCUGUUGUUUAUGACGAACGUGCAGUGUGUGAACAAUGCAUUGCAAUGACGGUAGUAAACGAGGAAGCCACGGCUAACUACGUGCCAGCAGCCGCGGUAAUACGUAGGUGGCGAGCGUUGUCCGGAAUUAUUGGGCGUAAAGAGCAUGUAGGCGGCUUAAUAAGUCGAGCGUGAAAAUGCGGGGCUCAACCCCGUAUGGCGCUGGAAACUGUUAGG
rnacentral:rRNA from 1 species